CCGCAACAACCAAACUUGCACCUGCGCCAUUCUCUUAAAAACAGGGCAGCGGCUGUGAGCGCUGGGCCGAUUCAUCCUCUCCCCACCCGCCUCCGCCCCCCACCACAUAGACAGAUUUGGGACCACCUGUUCACUCCACAGCCAGGAGGAUGGAAAGAUUCCUCGUGCCAGAUUCUCCUUCAUUCACGUAGUCUGCAACAAUGCCCUCUCCAACGUUAGAGGAGGAGAAAACCCUCCCUUGGCUCCAUUUCCAAGUUCUGUGCUUGGACAGAGUGCAGUCUGUACAAAGAUGAGCUCAGCUGGGGCCAGCUGGAGUGGAGACCGUGAGACCUGUUCUUCUAGGGGAGCAGCCUAGGAGUCCCCACCAUGCUCACAAAUCCUGCCUGAUCCCAGACCUGCCCUGUGCCCAACCAUGCUGCAGUGGAGAUCCUUGGCCACAUUUCUUGAGCUGGUGCUGCAUGAACACGUAGCAGAGUGAGAACUCUCCCUCGGCCUCAGACAUGGGCAAUCCACCUCUUCUACCGGGAUAUCUGUCAAUAGAUGAUUAUCAUCGUUCCCACUCCACCGCAUCUCUUGGUUGCUCUUCUUUUCUUCUGUCUUUGAGAAUGGAGAAAGAAGGAUGAGUAAAACCUGGACUUUAAAGAAAAUAAUGAAGCAAGUUGUUAUUUUGCUUAUUGCCCAGUUGGUAGAGUUAUUGACUCACUAAAAGAUUAUUACAGCAGAUAAAAUCUG
rnacentral:lncRNA from 1 species